rnacentral:rRNA from 1 species
GUCGAGCGAUGAAGCUUCUUCGGNAGUGGAUUAGCGGCGGACGGGUGAGUAACACGUGGGUAACCUGCCUCAUAGAGGGGAAUAGCCUUUCGAAAGGAAGAUUAAUACCGCAUAAGAUUGUAGUACCGCAUGGUACAGCAAUUAAAGGAGUAAUCCGCUAUGAGAUGGACCCGCGUCGCAUUAGCUAGUUGGUGAGGUAACGGCUCACCAAGGCGACGAUGCGUAGCCGACCUGAGAGGGUGAUCGGCCACAUUGGGACUGAGACACGGCCCAGACUCCUACGGGAGGCAGCAGUGGGGAAUAUUGCACAAUGGGGGAAACCCUGAUGCAGCAACGCCGCGUGAGUGAUGACGGCCUUCGGGUUGUAAAACUCUGUCUUUGGGGACGAUAAUGACGGUACCCAAGGAGGAAGCCACGGCUAACUACGUGCCAGCANCCGCGGUAAUACGUAAGUGGCAAGCGUUGUCCGGAUUUACUGGGCGUAAAGGGA